rnacentral:rRNA from 1 species
AUGGCCCCCAAGGCAGACAAGAAGCCGGCCGCCGAGAACAAGGUCGAGAAAGCGGCGGAGAAGACCCCCGCGGGCAAGAAGCCCAAGGCCGAGAAGCGGCUGCCGGCAGGCAAGACGGCGUCCAAGGAGGCCGGCGGCGAGGCCAAGACGAGGGGCCGGAAGAAGGGCAGCAAGGCCAAGAAGGGCGUGGAGACGUACAAGAUCUACAUCUUCAAGGUGCUGAAGCAGGUGCACCCGGACAUCGGCAUCUCCUCCAAGGCCAUGUCCAUCAUGAACUCCUUCAUCAACGACAUCUUCGAGAAGCUCGCCGGCGAGUCCGCCAAGCUCGCCCGCUACAACAAGAAGCCCACCAUCACCUCCAGGGAGAUCCAGACCUCCGUUCGCCUGGUCCUCCCCGGCGAGCUCGCCAAGCACGCCGUCUCUGAGGGCACCAAGGCUGUCACCAAGUUCACCUCCUCUUAG